CUCUAUCAUAGAGACGCGGGAGAAGAGCAACCGGAUAGCGCGAGGGAUGCUGGGAUACUGGAGGUCCGCCCAGCGCGUCCUGCGGGUUUUAGCAGCCCUUCAGAGUUAGCAAGGUGGAUUAUUUUGUGCGUUUACCGUCUUACGCGGACCCUCUGACUUGACAAACUGAGAACAGGGAAGGAACAGCUAAUUGGCCAGCCAUGAAGAACUGAGGAGGCCGACCUACACCUCAAGUCUCUAUGAUGUCUUUUCAAGUUGACUUUGAAGGGGAGCAGAAAACAAGCUGAAAAGUAAAAGCAAGUAUUAUGUUAAUCAUCAGAAGAGAAUAUUUAUCUUGAAAAGUAUCUGAAUCUGAAUAAGGAAUAUGAUUGUCCAUCAAGGCUAC